UGGGGAAUAUUGGACAAUGGGCGAAAGCCUGAUCCAGCAAUGCCGCGUGUGUGAAGAAGGUCUUCGGAUUGUAAAGCACUUUCGACGGGGACGAUGAUGACGGUACCCGUAGAAGAAGCCCCGGCUAACCUCGUGCCGG
rnacentral:rRNA from 1 species